UCGUCUCGAGACGCUUCGUCGUCGCCGCCGCCUCCUCGCGGCCGCAUCCGCCGCGUCCCUCCUCCCGGCCCCGGCCUCCGCCGCGGACGCCCACGCCCCCGCCUUCGAUUCCGCCGCCUACGCCUCCGCGCGGGACGCAGCGGCGCGGUGCGCGGCGGACGAUCGUGUCCAUCUCGCCGUGCCUGCCGCACGUGGCGGCGGUGGCGCCGCCGCUGGCCGCGUCCCCGCCGGCACCCACCGACGCCUGCUGCGUCGCCUUCCUCCGCGCCGUCUACCCGUCGGGAGGGAGCGGAGGGGAGGCUGCCUCUGCCACCUGCUCCGCAACCCGCUCCUCCUCGGCUUCCCCGUCGACGCCGCCCGCCUCGGCGCGCUCCUCCCCGCCUGCGCCGCGGGAAACUCCUUCGCCGCCACCACCGUCGAGGCCGCCAUCCUCUUCGCUGACGCCUGCCGAGGUGCAUAGUUUGUGGGCUUGGUCUUGAUAAUUCCGGUGAUCAACAAAGCCAUUGAAGAUGGUACGCUAAUUGGUUUCUUAGUUAGUGCUAAUAAACUGAUUUACUAUUGUCAAAUCAUCAAAUUGCAGAAAUGUUAAUGUUCAAGAUUUGGGAGAAGGUGACCCAAUUACCAUCCCCGCUCUAGUCCCAGUUACCAAACUACACUGAGCCCACCCACAACCACCCAACUCGGGCACUCCGCAGUUCGCACGGCCCAACACCCGCCUCACUCCUCUCAGCUGCCCUCCCACACGGUCUCUCCGUGCGCCGCUCGCCGCCGCACUCCCCCAACCAUCGCCACCACCUCCACCCCGGGGCCACCCACCUCGCCGCGCCCGUACGUCCACCUCCAACCGACUCACCAGCUCCCGAGCCACCCGACCACUCAGCCAGAUGCUGCCGCUCCGCCCCCCGCCACCGCGGCUCCUGCUCAACAAUGUCUCGUGCAUGCGGAACGCACAGACGGUGCUCCGUGACAUCAACCUCAGCGUCAACGACGGCACGGCCCUUGUCCUCACCGGCGCCAACGGCUCCGGCAAGACCACCCUGCUCCGCAUGCUGGCGGGCUUCUCGCGGCCCUCAGCGGGGGAGAUCCUCUGGAACGGCCAUGACGUCACCUCCCCGGGCGUGUUCCAGCAGUACAAGCUGCAGCUCAACUGGAUGUCGCUCAAGGACGCCGUCAAGGAGAAGCUCACGGUACUGGAGAACGUGCAGUGGUUCGAGCUCCUCGAGGGGAAGGACGGUAGCAGGGCAGGCCCAGCCAUCGAGCUCAUGGGGCUCGGCAGGCUCAUGAACGAGAAGUCUAGGAUGCUCUCCAUGGGGCAGCGGAAGCGGCUGCAGCUUGCCAGGCUGCUAGCCAUCGACCGCCCAAUAUGGCUGCUGGAUGAGCCCUCCGUCGCGCUGGAUGCGGAGGGCACUAGGCUGCUCGAGUACAUCAUCGCGGAGCACCGGAAGAAGGGUGGGAUCGUGUUCGUGGCCACGCACCUGCCCAUCGAGAUUGAGGAUUCCAUGUCCCUUCGGCUUCCGCAGAGGUUCCCCCGGAGGAAGACGCUGGUUGAUCUUGUCCAUUGAUGUCAAUGUGAGCACAGGAAUUUAGCUCUUCAAGUGGUGUAAGCCGGGAACCUUGACCAAAUUUGCAGACCUUUGUACAGGACCAGGUGCAUAGUUCGUGGGCUUGGUCUUGAUAAUUCAGGUGAUCAACAAAACCAUUGAAGAUGGUGGUUCUUGCAGCUUCCAUCGUUUCAAAGUAAGGAAAAGCACUUGUUUCAAGACAGUUUGUUGACAUGUCUUGCAUAAGAAUUGAAGGAUUACUCGCUGCAUUCCCGAAACUGGUUGGGAGUGGGAAGCAGCACACAUAUGUUGGAACUGAAAAUGUGCGUUAUGUUUAUAAACCUAUUGAAGGUUUGUAUCUUCUACUUAUCACAAACAAGUAGAGCAAUAUUCUUAAAGAUCUGGACACUUUGAGGCUGCUCUCCAAGCUCGUAUCCUACUUUUGCAUAUAUUAAUCUUCUGAUUCUUUGGAAAUUACCUUAUUUGUAUGAUCCUAUUUAAUAUGAAUUAAAAUAGAAACUUGGUUUUUUUGGGGGUGGGUGGGGGUGUUAACUUCAAGAACAUAGGCUCAAGAUGGCCAUACUGGCCUAUCUGGAUUUUACAGAUUUUACAUAUUACUGAGGGGGAAAACUUAAAAUGCAACAUGCACUAUAGGUACUUGAAAGUAUCUAUGCAAAAUCUUAACCAAUAUGAAUCUCAUUUCUGAGAGCUGUGUAUAUAUUAACUUCAUGCUACUAUUCAGUGGUAUGUUCUUUCACAGUAAUAUUCCUAUACUACCGUCUCUUUAACCCUUGGAUGAGGAAGGUGUCUGUAAAACAGCAUUUGAGCUUAUUUUUGCUUUGGACGAAGCCAUCUCUCUUGGAAAUAAGGAAAAUGUAACAGUGCAACAAGUCAAACAAUAUUGUGAGAUGGAGAGCCAUGAAGAAAAGGCACACAAGCUGAUGAUGCAAGCCAAAAUCAAUGAAACGAAGGAUGUCAUGAAGAAGAAGGCUAAUGAGCUUGACAAAAUGAGGCGGCAUCCCUUUUGUUUUGCUCUAGCAAUGGCAACAGCAAUGUCAGUACCAGUAGAGGCAUGUCCUGAUGGUUUUUCUAUUGCUCCAUCCUGCAACCUCAAAGGUCGACAGUACUGUGCUGGGCUCCAACAUUGGUGCGCUCAAGAUGGAGCUGCUGUACGCGCAUUGGAUGCUCGACAACGCGGAGGGCAGGGAGAUCCGCAGCCCAAGGAGCUUCUGCUCAUGCUACAACAGCUGGCGUACGACACUGAUGACGCACUCGACGAGCUGGUGUACUUCCGCAUCCAGGACUUUCUCGACGGCACCUUUGAGGCCGCCGACGCCGACAUGCUAAAGAUCGCUGAGAUGGAUGCGCCAAGGUUGAAGGCACAAGGCUGAGCUACUUUUUCAGCUCAAGGCUAAGAAGCUUUUAAGCACGAGGUUAAGGAGUCUACCAGCGCAAGGCUAAAGCACGAGGUUAAGGAGUCUACCAGCACAAGGCUAAAGAUGCAGAGGCGUGAAAAGCAUGACUGCAAGGAGACGUGAGAACUGUGAACCCCCGAAGGUAUGAUUAGCGUGAUUGCCUGGAGACGUGAGAAGCGUGACUCGGUAGGAGAGUUCAAGUUGUACAAGUUACUCCUAAAGAUCAUUAUGUACGGCAUAUUGUAGGAAUGUAGUAGGUGAGAAAGGGUAUUUAUAGUAUGUAAAAUGACUCUGGGACACUAUAAAAGGUGUCCUACCCUAUUGUAAAGGGAUGGAUAAUUUUUGGAACGAGACCACAAGUGUUUUUCCUA